UACCUUUUUAGGAAUGGAAGUCAAGUUUUUUCCUGUUGCCAUGGUCAUGAUGGAGCUGUGGGGAGGCUUGCCCAGGAGUGAGAUGCUGCAGAAAGAACAGAAGAAAAGUUAUCCCUGUGUGCCUCUUCCCAUGAGACUACGAGCAUCAGUGAUGAGACGGAGGAUCAAAGUUUACCUCCACUGGAAAGUGCAUUCAGUUUCACCUCAGGAUUGGAUCUAAAAGGCUUUUUCCUGGAGGCUGACUGAGCACCCUACAAGGAAUGCCCCACAAUCAUCACCAGUCUGCUUCUGCACCUUCCUGGAAUCAUCUUCCCUCCUGUGAACUUUAGCCUGCUGGCUGGAAUUGGAGCCCUUCGAUAGUAUCAGGUAAACAAACUGUGCCAGAUAAACACCUUAUCAAAGCACAAUACAAAGUCAUUGCUGUGAAACAAGAUUCUAAUCAGCACAGGCUGAGGACAAUACAAAGGGAGGCUGCUCAGCUCCAAGGUUAUGCAGGCUUGAACUGGUAUCAGCUUGUAGAGACAACAGAACACAGUUACAGUAGAACAGGAUGGGUUUUGCUAAUGGUACUAACAACUAGAGUAGUAGAAUAUCUGCAAUUCUAAACAAGAGUGGCCCAAUUUCCACAACUGCUUAUUAUG